AUACAAGGAACUCAGUCUAAGUAUGCUACUUUCUGUGGCAACGAUUGAAUGACUAGUAUCAUAUGGU
rnacentral:sRNA from 1 species